AUAUAAUUUUCAUAGACAUAGAGAAUGGACUUCGCAUUCCGGCUGAAGAGGACCCUAGUUGGUCCUAAAACGGCCUGAGGUAGAGGGGUUUUAGUCGGUAGGUCCGAGGACUUCUUCCUCGGGAAUCCGACACUACCCAGUCGUACGGACGGCUGGGUGUCUUCUGAAGAUUUCCUCUCUUCCACGAAA
rfam:Agrilus planipennis Contig1100, whole genome shotgun sequence.